GACGAACGCUGGCGGCGUGCUUAACACAUGCAAGUCGAACGGAAAGGCCCUGCUUUUGUGGGGUGCUCGAGUGGCGAACGGGUGAGUAACACGUGAGUAACCUGCCCUUGACUUUGGGAUAACUUCAGGAAACUGGGGCUAAUACCGGAUAGGAGCUCCUGCUGCAUGGUGGGGGUUGGAAAGUUUCGGCGGUUGGGGAUGGACUCGCGGCUUAUCAGCUUGUUGGUGGGGUAGUGGCUUACCAAGGCUUUGACGGGUAGCCGGCCUGAGAGGGUGGACGGCCACAUUAGGACUAAGAUACGGCCCAGAGGCCUACGGGAGGCAGCAGUGGGGAAUAUUGCACAAUGGGCGGGAGCCUGAUGCAGCAGCGCCGCGUGCGGGAUGACGGCCUUCGGGUUGUAAACCGCUUUCGCCUGAGACGAAGCGGGAGUGACGGUAAUGGGUAAAGAAGCACCGGCUAACUACGUG
rnacentral:rRNA from 1 species